rnacentral:rRNA from 1 species
UACGUAGGGGGCAAGCGUUGUCCGGAUUUAUUGGGCGUAAAGAGCGUGUAGGCGGCUAGAUAGGUCCGUUGUGAAAACUCGAGGCUCAACCUCGAGACGUCGAUGGAAACCAUCUGGCUAGAGUCCGGAAGAGGAGAGUGGAAUUCCUGGUGUAGCGGUGAAAUACGUAGAGAUUGGGAAGAACACCAGUGGCGAAGGCGGCUAUCUGGACGGUUUCUGACGCUAAGACGCGAAAGCGUGGGGAGCAAACAGG